rnacentral:rRNA from 1 species
CCUUUGUACACACCGCCCGUCGCUACUACCGAUUGAAUGGCUCAGUGAGGCGUCCGGACUGGACUUUGGCAGCUGGCAACAGCAGCUAGGGACUAAAAAGUCAUCCAAACUUGGUCAUUUAGAGG